UACGUAGGGUGCGAGCGUUGUCCGGAAUUAUUGGGCGUAAAGGGCUCGUAGGCGGUUUGUCGCGUCGGGAGUGAAAACCUCGGGCUUAACUCGGGGCUUGCUUUCGAUACGGGCAGACUAGAGGUAUGCAGGGGAGAACGGAAUUCCUGGUGUAGCGGUGGAAAUGCGCAGAUAUCAGGAGGAACACCGGUGGCGAAGGCGGGUCUCUGGGCAGUAACUGACGCUGAGGAGCGAAAGCGUGGGGAGCGAACAGG
rnacentral:rRNA from 1 species